UAAUACGUAGGGUGCAAGCGUUAUCCGGAUUUACUGGGUUUAAAGGGUGCGUAGGCGGCUUCCCAAGUCGGUGAUGAAAGCUUGGUGCUCAACACCAAAAGUGUUGCCGAUACUAGGAGGCUAGAGUAAAGAAAAGGUAGGCAGAAUUUAUGGUGUAGCGGUGAUAUGCUUAGAUAUCAUAAGGAAUUCCAAUAGCGUAGGCAGCUUACUAGUCUUUUACUGACGCUGAGGCACGAAAGGCGGGGAGCAAACAGG
rnacentral:rRNA from 1 species